CUAAAAUAAAACUCAACAGCUUCGUGAAUACCAGAAAGACUGGCUGACGCGCAGAACUUCGGGAGCAGCAUGUGAAGCCCAACCACAACUUUUUUAUGGCUCUCAAAACGUUCUUUCAAUUGGUUUUCCAAGCCUGCCAACAAAGGGUUGCUGCCUCGCUAGACCAAGACGAGGCAAGAAGAGGAGGCCAGAGAACAAGAAAAAUGGUCUAGCACACUGGCUGCACAUCAGGCGGUCAGCCUGCAGCGUGUCACUCGACACAUGCACAUCGUUGCAUGCGCUGACAAGCCCGACAACCUCAGAGAGGGCGCCAAGAAUUUCAACAUUGACUGUUGGCAUGCUCGCUCCAAGAGCACAUGAACAGAAAUCCAAAAGAGCGACCAAAGUUGGCGGCUCAGUUUACGAGAAUACCGAUGCCUUGCCUACUAAUACAAAGAAACCUGAACACUGAGCCGGAGAAAGGUAGCAGGCCUGCACCAAUUAUCUGUCUUCAGAGAUCUGGCAUGGCUCGAGUUGUGAGCAACAUGACGAAGAGGUGGUGGCAUCAUCAACCACGGCCAUUUGAACUUAAGAAACAUGAUUAACAACACAAAUUGUAAAAUCUAGAUAAAAAAAGUGAAAGCCGUUUACAACUCCCUGUAACGCCGAA